CGGGGCGUGGCGCAGCUUGGUAGCGCACUUGCAUGGGGUGCAAGGGGUCGCAGGUUCAAAUCCUGCCGUCCCGACCA
rnacentral:tRNA from 2 species